UUCUUACCUUACUGCAUUGAUCAGGACUUCUAAUAUGAUAUUCAUUAAGCCUGAAAGUAGCCAUCCUUUUCCCUUUUUCCCAUCUUGGUCUUCACCAUUAAGUGUAGUAGUAUGUUAGCUGCAGUUCACCCUUCCCCACCCCUCGACACACACAUACACUUCCUAGAACUCUGGAGAAGAAUGGUUAAUUACAUGUAUGUAGAUAUAUAUCACUUCUGUUACUUUUUCUUCAUUCCUGAGGUUCCCAUUUUCCUGAUGAUUUCUCUUUUACCUAAACCACUAAAUCAUUGCCUUUAACAGUUUUGUUUUAAGAGCAGCCUGCUGUUGAAAAAUUCUCUUAGCUUUCCUUCUAUUCAGAUUACUUUUAUUUCACCUUUAUUCCUAAAGGAUGCAUUUGCUGAAUAUAUUUUCUGAGUUGGUAUUUCUUUUCUUGGUGUAUUUGGAAACAUUAAACCAUCUCCCUGGCUGAUCUCUCUUGAUUUCUGACAAGAAAUCUACAGUCAUUCAAAUUAAUGUUUCACUACAAGUGAUCAUUUGUUUUUCUCUGGCUCCUUUCAGGAGUUUUAUUUUCUUUCUUUCUUUCUUUCUUUCUUUCUGUCUGUCUGUCUGUCUGUCUGUCUGUCUCUCUCUCUCUCUCUCCCCUUCCUUCCUUCCUUCCUUCCUUCCUUCCUUCCUUCCUUCCUUCCUUCCCUCCCUCCUUCCUUCUUCCUUUCUUUCUUUCUUUCAUCUUUUAGGGCUGCACCGGUGGCAUAUGGAGGUUCCCAGGCUAGGGGUCGAAUCGGAACUAUAGCCGCCAGCCUAUGCCACAGCCACAGCAAUGCAGGCUCUGAGCCGUGUCUGCAGCCUACACCACUGCUCAUGGCAACGCCAGAUCCUUAACCCACUGAAAGAGGCCAGGAAUCAAACUCAGGUCCUCAUGGAUGCUAGUCGGGUUCGUUAACCACUGAGCCACAACUGGAACUCCUAUUUUUACUUUUAUCCUUUUAGGCCUAUACCCGUAGCAUUAUAGAAGUUCCCAGGCUAGAUGUAGCUGCUGGCCUACGCCACAGCAACAGCAGAUCUGAGCCAUGUCUGCAACCUAUACCACAGCUGAUGGCAAUGCUAGAUCCUUAACCCCCUGAGCAAGGCCAGGGAUUGAACCUGCAUCCUCAUGGAAUCUAGUUAGUUAGGUUCAUUACCGCUGCACCACCAUGGGAACUCUAGGAAUUUAUUUUAGUCUUGAGUUUUCUGCAGUUGAUUAUAGUUUGCAGUGCUAGAUCCUUAACCCCCUGAGCAAGGCCAGGGAUUGAACCUGCAUCCUCAUGGAAUCUAGUUAGGUUCAUUACCGCUACACCACCAUGGGAACUCUAGGAAUUUAUUUUAGUCUUGAGUUUUCUGCAGUUGAUUAUAGUUUGCUCGGGCAUGGAUUUCUUUAGAUUUAUCCCAUUUAGUAUUAAAGGAAAACCGUUUUUCUACUCAUUACUAUUCUGAUACCAAAUGUUUGGAUUUUCCACAUCAAGCAAUUUUCUAAUUCUUUGUGAACACCAACUGGUUUCCUAUGACCUAAUUCAGUUCUGAUACUAUCUCCCUGGAGUUAGCACAAAACCCACAGGUUAAGGCCUAAGUCCCAUAAGAUUGUCCCCACUUUAGGUAUAAUAAGUAGUAGGUCCUCAGGUUACCUCCACUUCUAUCUGACUUGACUACAAAUCAGGAAUUUCCACAACCCUCUACGUAGGUUUAAAAAUUUUCUGUAACAGCUCAUAGAACUCAGGGAGACACUAGUUAUUAUCACUAGUUUAUUAUAAAGGGUGUUAUAAUUAUUUUUUAUUUUUAUUGAAGAAUAGCAGUCUCAUGAUACGUGUCUUUGUCUGGCCUACUUCACUUAGUAUGAUAAUGUCAUCCAUGUUGCUUCAGGUGGUUGAGUGGUAUUCAUGUGUAUGUAUGUGUGUGUGCACACACACCACAUCCUCUUUAUCCACUUAUCUAUUGAUGGACAUUUAGAUUGCUUCUAUGUCUUGGCUAUUGUAAAUGGUGCUGCAGUGAACAUUGGAGUGCGUGUAUCUUUUUGAAUAUAUGCCUGAGAGUGGGAUUGCUGGAUCGUAUGGUAGUUCUAUAUUUAGUUUUUUAAGGAACCUCCAUGGUAUUCUCCAUAGUGGCUGCACCAGUCUACAUUCCCACCAACAGUGUAGGAAAGUUCCUCUUUCUCUACACCCUCCUAGCGUUUAUUAUUUGUAGACUUGUUGAUGAUAGCCUUUCUGAUUGGGGUGUAUUAUAAAGGGUGCAGAUGAGCAGCCAGUUGAAGUAAUACAUAAAGCAAAGUCUCAAAGUGUCCUGAGCACAGGAAUUCCCAUGGGGUGGGUGGGGUGCAGCUGCCUUAUGGCAUGUGAAUACAUUCAUCAAUCUGAAGCUCGCCAAACCCAUUUAUUUGGGGUUUUUUAGGAGAUUCCAUUAUGAUGACCUGUUUGAUUAAGUCAUUGGUUAUUACCAUCUCUUCCCAUCCUGGAGGUCUGGGGUGGGGUGUAGUGGGACUGAAAGUUAUAGCCUUGUAAUCACAUGGUUGGUUCCUUUGGCAACCAUCCCUAAUCCUUAAACUCUCUGGGAUCUUCUAGCCACCAGUCAUCUUAUUAACAUAAACUCAGGUACUGUUGAAAGAGGUUUGUUAGUAAAAUUAUAAAAGAUGCUUCUCUCACUCCUGUCACCUAAGAAAUUACAAGAGUUUUUGGAGCUCUGUGCCAGGAACCAGGGAGGAAGACUAAAUAUGUAUUUCUUAGUCUAUCACAACAAUCAUGUAUGUUUUUGUAACAUAAUUCUAACAUCUGUGUUUCGUGGAGUUGAUAUCUGUUGUCUUGGUUAAAUAUAUUGAGAUUUUCCUAGUAUUUGUAUGCAAGGUGAUUUUGGAUUGUAUUUUGGGCAUUUUAAGUUUUAUAAGGUUCAAAGUCAUGCUUGUAUCCUGUGGAGAAGCAGAUUCUACACAGAAGAUUGACUCAGGUUGGGAGAUAUGACCUAGUUUAGCUUCUGAAGCACACCUCUAUUAAGAUACUUACGGGGGAGUCUGUAGCUUUUUAAACCAAAACCUUUAUGUCCAGGCAGCAAACCUUCCCUUAUUUAAAGUGAUUAGAGUAUCUGUUCUUCAAAAUCAAAAGAGCAUACUAACUGGUUUCCACUUAAACAUUUGCAAAGAAAACAUUUUUGCUUUAGUAUUUAAUAUCAGUUUUAAUAUUAAAGUUUGGUAUAGAGUGUAUCUUUGGUAACAUAGAAUAAUAGAGUACAGAUUUAGAGUCAGUCAUAUCCCACCAUUUGUGGGAUCUUGAAUAAAUCAAUACCGAAUUUUAGUUCUCUUAUCUAUGAGACAUUUAUAUGGUAUCCAGCCAGUAGUCUACUGGAGCUGGCUGGUACCAGCUCACAAGGGCCAAUUAAGUUCUUAGAACUCUUGUGAGCUGAUUGUUUAAUGAUGCAACCAUCAUUAAAAAUUAAAUUACAUAAACUUAUAAUUAAAUUAUGUUAAAAGCAAUGACAUAUAGAUGCUCAAAACUCAUCACUUCUUAAUUAUUUUGUUACACUGCACUAUUACUUAUGUCUGUUAUAUCUAUGUAUGGUGAAAUAAAUAAUGAUAUGCUAUUGCUUAUCUCUUCCCAAUUCUGUGUUUGGUGCUUUUACAUUGAUAGCUUGAUAGAAAUCUAUCAAUAAAUACUAUCAUGGUAGUAGUUAUACCAUGAAAAUUGUUAAAUAGUAUAAUUAUAACUAGAGCGUAAUUUACUGCUUGAUUGCUUGAUUGUCUAGAUUUAAGGAAGUGAUGGGAAAAAUGCCAGUAAAGCAGAUUAAACUUAAACAAUCUGUUGCUUGUUGUUAUGAGUAGCACAAAAAAUUAAAGAACUAUUCUCAUUAUUAGCUAAUUUAGCCAAGAGGUUGCUCAUUUCAUUGGUGAGGUUAUGACGUACGUCUUUGUUUCACUUCCCUCAUAUUUUUUCACAUAAAUGACAGUGUUAAGGUUGGAACUACACUUAUGCAUCAGUUGCAACCCUAGGUUGGCUUCUCGUGACUUUUGCAAAAUCAGUAAGAGCAUUUUGUCAGAACCAUUUAGCUCCAAGGGAUUUAUAAUAAAGAGUAUUGUAUACUUUAUUAUAAUUGAUUUUAAUUUAUUAUAAUUGUAUAUUUUAUUAUAAUACUUUAUUAUAAUUGUAGUUUGUAAAUUGUGUCCUAAACAUCUUUUAUAUUGGUGAGAUUUAUAAUAAACAUAUAUUUCACACACACACAUACACACUGAGAACUGAUUGUUAAACAUUUAUGAAGCACAACAUUGUGUUGGGCACAGAGCAGGCAUUCAUUAAAUAUUACUUUCUCCAAAGGGGAGAAAAGGAAAUAGAAUUUCAAAUAGAAUCAAAGUACCUGCUAUACUUAGAGUAAUCGGAAUUGGUAAAAGAAAAGCUUUAACACUGGCGUUUACUUCAGGGUUAGUAUAUCCUUUGCUAUUACCACUGUCACUAGUUUUAAAAAAUACCUUAGUUUAAAAGACAAAUAAUAGGAUGAGGGAGUAUGAUUUGCUUUUGAAUUCCAUAUUUUGGGAAUAUCAGUACUUCAGUAUAUUUCAGAGAGGGACUUUAGAAACUUAAAGGAUAUAAUAUUUAUUGAAUAUUAAAAAACAGCCAUGAAUCAUAGCACCUAUCAACAUUUUCUUGAAAAGGUUUUCCCAAGAAAUGGGCCUGACUUAAAUUUUGGUUUUAAUUUUCAUUUUUUUUCAUCUUUUGUCCACCUUCUUGUAUUAAUAAGGAAAUUAUUUUAUAAAAAGCAUUUCAGCAUUGGGAACAUCACAGGCUGAUUAUGUUUUUAAUCACUGCAAAAAUAGAUUUUUUUGACAACAUUUUCCAUCAUUAUGAUGACUUUUCUUCCCAUUUUAAAUCUGGAAUAAAAUAUUUUUUAAGCAUCCUGGUUGACAGGUCCCCCCCCCCCAAUAGGGUUUUUUUUUUUCCCCUGCUUGCAUUUAGAAUAUAUUUUAAGGGUCAUGUGGUCAGUGUUCUUACUUCCCAACUACCUCCACCUUGUUUAAAUAAGAAAAAAGCAUCUGUAUUUCUAUAGUGCCUAGCUGAUUGUGUUCCAUCUCCCAAAGGAAAGGAACUAAUUGCUAAACAUAGAGAAGAUAAAACAUUGAGAUAUCUUCCUGUUUGGAUUUAAUGUGUUACUAAUAAGAGAAAAGUAAGCCUUUACACGUUUUAAUCCUAUUACUUCCAAAAGAAUAACAUGAAGUAUUUCUUCCUCACGUAUGUUUGAAAAUAUAUACAGAAAGGGUUGAAUUAUAUUAAUAUCUUAGUAGAAAACCAAUUAACCAUACAUAUGUGUGUCUAUUUCUGGGCUCUCUAUUGUAUUCCAUAGGGUUUAUCCUCCUUAUGCCAAAGUAACACUUGUCUUCAUUACUAUAGCUUCAUAAUUAGUUCUGAAAUUGGACAGUAUAAAUCUUCCAGCUUUUUUAUUUUCGACAUUUUUUGGCUAUUCUAGAUUUUUUUGCACUCCCAAAUAAUUUGUCAAGUUUUGAAAAAAAAAAAAGCCUACUGGGAUUUUGUUUGAUAUUUGCACUGAAUCUGUAAAUCAUUUUGGUGAGAAUUGACAUAUUAACAGUGUUGAAUAUUGCCAUCUAUGAACAUUAUAUAUUUUUUCACUUAUUUAGGGUAUCUUUACUUUGUCUUUGCAAUGUUUUUAGUUUUCCACGUUUGUAUUUACAGACGCUGUGUAUAUUUUGCUAAAUUUAUCCCUAAGUAUUUCAUAUUUUUGAUGCUAUAAUAGUAAUGUUUUAAAACUUUAUUUUCUAAUUAUUUGUUGCUAGUAUAUAGAGAUAUAAUUGAAUUUUGUGUAUUGUUCUUAAUAUCUGAAACCCCUACUUAAGUUCAUUUAUUAGCUCUAGCAGAACUUUUGUAGAUUUGUUAGGAUGUGGUAUAUACACAUUAUAUUGUCAGUGAAUAAAAACAGUCUUAAGUUUUUUCAUUUCUGAUCCAUAUGCUUUAUAUUUUUAUAAUUGCUAACCCACAAGUUACAAAGCAUUUCUUAAUUCAUUUAUACAUCUUUUGUCUAAUCAUUGGUAACUCCCUUAAUUUGAAGGCAUAUGAUCAAAUUUUCUUAAUCAUAGUAGAUAGAGGAUCUCUUUGGUAUAGCUUUUCUAAUAAGGCCAGUCAUUCGAAACAUCUCUUUCAUAUCAGUCCAUAGUAAACAAUACUUGGAUGAAUUUAUUAGAGAGUAGAAGUUUCAAAUUUCUACAGAAAACUCAAGUUCUUUUAAGCUGUAUCUUUUAUUUUUAUUUUUAUUUAUUUUUUGUCUUUUUGCUAUUUCUUGGGCUGCUCCCGCGGCAUAUGGAGGUUCCCAGGCUAGGGGUCGAAUCAGAGCUGUAGCCACCGGCCUAUGCCAGAGCCACAGCAACGCGGGAUCCGAGCUGCAUCUGCAACCCACACCACAGCUCACUGCAAUGCCGGAUCGUUAACUCACUGAGCAAGGGCAGGGACCGAACCCGCAACCUCAUGGUUCCUAGUCGGAUUCGUUAACCACUGCGCCACGACGGGAACUCCUAAGCUAUAUCUUUUAGGUAAAAGUAGCAAGUCUGCUGUUUAAAAAUUUAAGACGUUUUAUAUUGUUUAUUUUGUGAGCAUUACAUUUCCUUUGUAAGCAGGUAACAUUUUGUAUUACAUAUAAAAUAGCAGUAAAAGGAAAGCCAAAUCUGCUGAUAGUAUUUUAAAAUGUUAUUCUUCAAUACUAUUACAGUUGUCAUAGUACAUUACUAUUUUAUAUAUUUCCUGAAAAAUUAAAUAUAGGUCAUAUUCGACGUAGAAUAAUUUAAAUGAACCAAUAGUUUACUUUGCAAAUGGCAGACCCUCAUUCCUGUAGAAUAGAAAGAGCAGAUGGCAAUAAUCAUUUAAAUAAAUCUCACCAACAUGUCUAUAAUUUUAAGUGUGUAAGGGAUGGUGGCUCAUCUUUCACACAGACUGUUGAAAAUUGUUUCCAUCAAGAGGAAGGAGAAAGGAAGAGUUAAUGUCUAAAGGGAAUAAAUGUGUCGCCCAUAAGUCUGGGGUUAUGAGCUUGGACUCUUAUAAAUAUAGAAAGCAAUAUAAUGAUAUCAUCAUCUUUGACACUUAGUAAUGGAAAAAGAGGAAGGAGAUAGUAUGAGUAAAAAUAAGAUUGAAGCUUCAAGUGAAAGUUGAAUGUUGAUAGCAUUAAUUAACAUUUACUUGCAGACUCAAAUGCUAACCAUGGAUGGCAGAAGACUCAAUGGAUUGGAAAGGAACUUUGUUAUAAAUAAGAACAGAAGAAAUGUGACAAAAUAAAGGGUAGUUUAGAUGACUAAAAUUUUUAAACAUUGUACAACUAUAAAUGUAAUAAAUUCAUUGAGUAAUAAAAAAAUAAAAAUAAACAAAAAAAGAAUUAUUUUGGAAUUAUAUGGCUAAAUUUGUUCUCUUUAACAUAGGUUCAUUUUAGAUGCUAAAAUUAUUUGGAUGUUGAAACUUUACCAUAAAACAUUAGACAGUAUUGAUUCUCCCUGUUCCAACUUGAUAUUUUUGAAGGGUUUUAGCAGUAGAAAUUUUUACCAAAGUCUUAUAUACUUGAUCUUUGACAUUUGAAACCUGCCUGAUUGUCAUCUUUUGUAUGUAACUGUCAUUUUUCUUUGGAGAUUUUUACGAAUUUCCCCAUUGCCCGACCAUACACGUUGGUUGAACAACUUGAUUGUGGUGAAGAGGCUUGACUGACUGUAAUUUUAACUGAAGAUUAACUAUUUUGAUUUAACAGAUCCCAGCUCUUCCAUAGACUGCUUCUGGAAUGUCCGUGCAGAGAAAUUGAACUUUUGGUUAUUUAUUUAUUUUUUUAGAAAUAUAACAGUUUCCAAAUCACAGAUCUGGCUUGUUACUAGAUCAUCAUGGACACUAUAAUGUAUUUUUAAAGAGCACUCAAAAAAAUAAAGAUAAGCUUACUGAUAAUGAUUUUAAAUAGGCACAAUGACUGAUGGAACUGAAAAAUAAUUCUCCAAUUUGAUGUUGGAACAUUAAGUCUUAGAAGUUGAUAGAGGAGUUGCCGUUGUGGCUCAGCGGAAGCAGAAUCUGACUAGGAACCAUGAGGUUAUGGGUAUGAUCCCUGGCCUAGCUCGGUGGGUUAGGGAUCUGGAGUUGCCAUGAGCUGUGGUUAGAUUACAAAUGUAGCUUGGUUUCUCUGUUGCUGUGGCUGUGGUGUAGGCUGGCAGCUGUAGCUCCAAUUGGACCCCUAGCCCGCGACCCUUCAUAUGCUGCAAGUAUGGCCAUAAAAAAGCAAAAAAAAAAAAAAAAA
rnacentral:lncRNA from 1 species